GUCAAAUUGAUCAUAUUGUAUUUUAAAUUUGUAUUGUUUCGAUAUUUUAAAAAAGUAACACAAUUCGACUGCAAUGAUUAUAAAAAUCAACUUUUUUUGUUUCUUAAUAUCAUUUGCCCUUCAAGAAGUUUUGGCAGUUACCUACGCGGAGUAUAAGAAAGAGGUGGCCAUCACCA